rnacentral:rRNA from 1 species
CGGACGGGUGAGUAACACGUGGAUAACCUACCUAUAAGACUGGGAUAACUUCGGGAAACCGGAGCUAAUACCGGAUAAUAUAUUGAACCGCAUGGUUCAAUGGUGAAAGACGGUUUUGCUGUCACUUAUAGAUGGAUCCGCGCCGCAUUAGCUAGUUGGUAAGGUAACGGCUUACCAAGGCAACGAUGCGUAGCCGACCUGAGAGGGUGAUCGGCCACACUGGAACUGAGACACGGUCCAGACUCCUACGGGAGGCAGCAGGC